ACGAACGCUGGCGGCGUGCUUAACACAUGCAAGUCGAACGCUGAAGCUCAGCUUUUGUUGGGUGGAUGAGUGGCGAACGGGUGAGUAACACGUGAGUAACCUGCCUCCUUCUUUGGGAUAACGCCCGGAAACGGGUGCUAAUACUGGAUAUUCACUGGUCUUCGCAUGGGGGUUGGUGGAAAGGGUUUUUCUGGUGGGGGAUGGGCUCGCGGCCUAUCAGCUUGUUGGUGGGGUGAUGGCCUACCAAGGCUUUGACGGGUAGCCGGCCUGAGAGGGUGACCGGUCACAUUGGGACUGAGAUACGGCCCAGACUCCUACGGGAGGCAGCAGUGGGGAAUAUUGCACAAUGGGCGCAAGCCUGAUGCAGCGACGCCGCGUGAGGGAUGGAGGCCUUCGGGUUGUGAACCUCUUUCGCUCAUGGUCAAGCCGCAACAAUGGUUGUGGUGAGGGUAGUGGGUAAAGAAGCGCCGGCUAACUACGUG
rnacentral:rRNA from 1 species